rnacentral:rRNA from 1 species
AAAGGAGAGAUUUCAGUCACGCAUCAGACCUCUGAUCAGGGAAGACUACCCGCUGAGUUUAAGCAUAUCAAUAAGCGAGGAAGGGCGAAUU